AAAGAAAAGAAAGAAACAUUAAUCAGUCACCUCCUGGGGAUGUGCCCGCAACCAAGCUCUCAACGUUGCAGGAUUGAACACCUGGAUCCACCACUCCCGGGUGAAAGCAGCCCACCAGCUGGACAAUCGGCACCCAAGAGUGGAAGGUGACCUCUGACCUGAACCACCCCCUGCGGAUCAUCUUCAAGAAGACUGCGGAUAUGGCCGACCGGCCUGACUUUGGUAUUUCUGGAUAAUCAUUGAUUUCAUUUUCUGAACAGUUUUCGCCAGAACCGAAGACUGGUACCGGGAGGAGAACUUCUCUGCCCUUGCUCCUCUGAACUACGGUUACAAACCCCCCCCCUUGGGGAAAAUAAUGAACAAGAGGGGGAAUGAGAAGGAACAUAGUGGGGCAACUUUGGGGGCUUACAGCAUAGUUUAAAUAGUAAUCUUACUUCCCCAUUCUAACGGCCAUGGGCGGAGCUGCGAGGCCCACCUCCUUCCAUCCCUCUGACAGAGAGCAAGGAUCUCUUGGCUCUGGAAGAAACCUUCGUCCCUCCUCAGCAUGAAGCAGUUACAGAAAAGACCCUGCACCCCUUUUCUAUGAAAGAAUUCAGAGCCAAGAUCCUUGAGGGGAUGUGUUAAGCAGAUAGACUGACAUGAGCAGAGCAGGGAUGAUGGGCCAACUAGAGGAGAAGUAGAUGGGACCUCGAGACAUGCUUCUCAUCACUCCCGAUUGCUCUGAAGCUGGAAAUGAAGAAACCUGUGUAGACUCCUUCUUCCUUCCUCUAAGAAAGCCAACAGGUUUUAGAACAGCUAAGAGAGAAGCCCCAGAUGUCACUCCAUACCAGAUCUCUGGACUGCCAUUACAAUCCCUUGAGUAAUGAAGAUGGAAAAGACUCGAGCUACUGAACACCCUACCCCAGUAUUGAGUUUUAUAUGGAAUCCCCAAGGCUGAAAACCAGCUUGAGGAUCAAGAAGGGAAAAUAAAGGGGAUGUAAGCCAUGUGGGGGCGGGGCUGCAAGGCCCUCGACAGGUCGGGAAGCCUGACCUAAAAGGAAGGGUUCCCCCAGAUUGUCUCACUCAGGACUUGGAGAACUGAUUCCUGAGUCACUGUAUUACUACAUCAGAAAAUAAAGGGGUUUCCUGA